rnacentral:rRNA from 1 species
GCGAGUCGUUGUAGCAAUACAAGGCAUACGGCUCAGUAACGCGUAGUCAACCUAACCUAUGGACGGGAAUAACCUCGGGAAACUGAGAAUAAUGCCCGAUAGAACAUUAUGCCUGGAAUGGUUUAUGUUCCAAAUGAUUUAUCGCCAUAGGAUGGGACUGCGGCCUAUCAGUUUGUUGGUGAGGUAAUGGCCCACCAAGACUAUUACAGGUACGGGCUCUGAGAGGAGUAGCCCGGAGAUGGGUACUGAGACACGGACCCAGGCCCUAUGGGGCGCAGCAGGCGAGAAAACUUUGCAAUGUGCGAAAGCACGACAAGGUUAAUCCGAGUGAUUUCUGCUAAAGAGAUCUUUUGUUAGUCCUAGAAACACUAACGAAUAAGGGGUGGGCAAGUUCUGGUGUCAGCCGCCGCGGUAAAACCAGCACCUCAAGUGGUCAGGAUGAUUAUUGGGCCUAAAGCAUCCGUAGCCGGCUCUGUAAGUUUUCGGUUAAAUCUGUACGCUCAACGUACAGGCUGCCGGGAAUACUGCAGAACUAGGGAGUGGGAGAGGUAGACGGUACUCGGUAGGAAGUGGUAAAAUGCUUUGAUCUAUCGAUGACCACCUGUGGCGAAGGCGGUCUACCAGAACACGUCCGACGGUGAGGGAUGAAAGCUGGGGGAGCAAACCGGAUUAGAUACCCGGGUAGUCCCAGCUGUAAACUAUGCAAACUCAGUGAUGCAUUGGCUUGUGGCCAAUGCAGUGCUGCAGGGAAGCCGUUAAGUUUGCCGCCUGGGAAGUACGUACGCAAGUAUGAAACUUAAAGGAAUUGGCGGGGGAGCACCACAAGGGGUGAAGCCUGCGGUUCAAUUGGAUUCAACGCCGGG